rnacentral:rRNA from 1 species
AGAGUUUGAUCAUGGCUCAGGAUGAACGCUAGCGACAGGCUUAACACAUGCAAGUCGAGGGGCAGCAUAAAAGUAGCAAUACGUUGGUGGCGACCGACGCACGGGUGAGUAACGCGUAUGCAACCUACCUAUCAGAGGGAAUAACCCGGCGAAAGUCGGACUAAUACCGCAUAAAACAGGGGCACCGCAUGGUGAUAUUUGUUAAAGAAAUUCGCUGAUAGAUGGGCAUGCGUUCCAUUAGGUAGUUGGUGAGGUAACGGCUCACCAAGCCGACGAUGGAUAGGGGAACUGAGAGGUUGGUCCCCCACACUGGUACUGAGACACGGACCAGACUCCUACGGGAGGCAGCAGUGAGGAAUAUUGGUCAAUGGGCGAGAGCCUGAACCAGCCAAGUCGCGUGAAGGAAGAAGGAUCUAUGGUUCGUAAACUCCUUUUGCAGGGGAAUAAAGUGCAGGACGUGUCCUGUUUUGUAUGUACCCUGAGAAUAAGGAUCGGCUAACUCCGUGCCAGCCGCCGC